UGUCUUCAAGAUUAAGCCAUGCAUGUCUAAGUAUAAGCACUUUAUACUGUGAAACUGCGAAUGGCUCAUUAAAUCAGUUAUCGUUUAUUUGAUAGUACCUUACUACAUGGAUACCUGUGGUAAUUCUAGAGCUAAUACAUGCUAAAAACCUCGACUUCGGAAGGGGUGUAUUUAUUAGAUAAAAAACCAAUGCCCUUCGGGGCUCCUUGGUGAUUCAUAAUAACUUAACGAAUCGCAUGGCCUUGCGCCGGCGAUGGUUCAUUCAAAUUUCUGCCCUAUCAACUUUCGAUGGUAGGAUAGUGGCCUACCAUGGUGGCAACGGGUAACGGGGAAUUAGGGUUCGAUUCCGGAGAGGGAGCCUGAGAAACGGCUACCACAUCCAAGGAAGGCAGCAGGCGCGCAAAUUACCCAAUCCCGACACGGGGAGGUAGUGACAAUAAAUACUGAUACGGGGCUCUUUUGGGUCUCGUAAUUGGAAUGAGUACAAUCUAAAUCCCUUAACGAGGAACAAUUGGAGGGCAAGUCUGGUGCCAGCAGCCGCGGUAAUUCCAGCUCCAAUAGCGUAUAUUAAAGUUGUUGCAGUUAAAAAGCUCGUAGUUGAACCUUGGGUCUGGCUGGCCGGUCCGCCUCACCGCGAGUACUGGUCCGGCUGGACCUUUCCUUCUGGGGAACCUCAUGGCCUUCACUGGCUGUGGGGGGAACCAGGACUUUUACUGUGAAAAAAUUAGAGUGUUCAAAGCAGGCCUUUGCUCGAAUACAUUAGCAUGGAAUAAUAGAAUAGGACGUGCGGUUCUAUUUUGUUGGUUUCUAGGACCGCCGUAAUGAUUAAUAGGGAUAGUCGGGGGCGUCAGUAUUCAGCUGUCAGAGGUGAAAUUCUUGGAUUUGCUGAAGACUAACUACUGCGAAAGCAUUCGCCAAGGAUGUUUUCAUUAAUCAGGGAACGAAAGUUAGGGGAUCGAAGACGAUCAGAUACCGUCGUAGUCUUAACCAUAAACUAUGCCGACUAGGGAUCGGGCGGUGUUUCUAUGAUGACCCGCUCGGCACCUUACGAGAAAUCAAAGUUUUUGGGUCUGGGGGGAGAUCCCAUU
rnacentral:rRNA from 1 species